GAUGAACGCUGGCGGCGUGCCUAAUACAUGCAAGUCGAGCGAACAGAUGAGGAGCUUGCUCCUCUGACGUUAGCGGCGGACGGGUGAGUAACACGUGGAUAACCUACCUAUAAGACUGGAAUAACUUCGGGAAACCGGAGCUAAUACCGGAUAAUAUAUUGAACCGCAUGGUUCAAUAGUGAAAGACGGUUUUGCUGUCACUUAUAGAUGGAUCCGCGCCGCAUUAGCUAGUUGGUAAGGUAACGGCUUACCAAGGCAACGAUGCGUAGCCGACCUGAGAGGGUGAUCGGCCACACUGGAACUGAGACACGGUCCAGACUCCUACGGGAGGCAGCAGUAGGGAAUCUUCCGCAAAGGGCGAAAGCCUGACGGAGCAACGCCGCGUGAGUGAUGAAGGUCUUCGGAUCGUAAAACUCUGUUAUUAGGGAAGAACAAAUGUGUAAGUAACUAUGCACGUCUUGACGGUACCUAAUCAGAAAGCCACGGCUAACUACGUG
rnacentral:rRNA from 1 species